UAAUAUUUCACGGAGACACGUUCAUCCAUCGAUCGUCGCUUUUCUUGCAUAAUUAAUUCGACGGCGUCCAAGGCGUCCUCUUACCAGCCCACAUUGGCAACUUCUUCCCUCUAGACUGUAAGACAGACCCCCUUGGGUUUCCUGACCAGGCAAAGGUCUCACGGUGCUCUAAGAUUCCGCUAUGAUCACUUUGAGGCUAGGUAUCAAAACUCCGAACUUACGGGGUACGGCUUACUGGCUUAGGGACGCUAUCGCGUUGCCUGAAGUUGCCAAGGGACGUGAGUAAGUUGGGCGUGAACCACGUUGAAAGUUGAGAGUUCGAUUGUCAAAAAGAAUAGAGCGUGAGGACUUGUCCGGUAGAUGCCUAAAUACUUGCCAGGUCAGAGGCGAACGAAGAGAAGACGGAUGUUGCUCGACGGAAGUAGGAGCUGGAAAGGAGAUACGACCAAGAAGUACGAGAGCUUACGAGCAAUGAUAAUCGAAAGUAACGCGCUAUGUCCUACCAGGUGAGCAACGACGAAGAAGGAUGCUGUUGGUGAGAAGGUAGACGAGCUGGUUAUUCUGCGCAUGCGCGAGUACAUAGGCAUACACCAUAAUAAUUGCAACCGUGAUAUUCGCUUGUGCAACGUAAUCAGCAUAUAAGAGAGGCACCUGGGGAAUGCGACCUUGACGCCUUUCGGGGAGGUGACCUCUUGGGAAAGAGCGCGUACCUAACCUAACCUAACCCGUCGUUUACCUCAACGGCGAUAGGAUGCCAAGGCCUGCGUCGUCAGUGCAAGACAGGUGGAAUGUGCACCUAACUCGGGGAUCAAUCGAAUAUCUUUUUUCACUAACACGUCGCUCGAUCAAGGAAUUGACUAGUAGGCAUACACUUUUGACUGUGACCUUUGACCUUAUUAUACAGUCAUACUAUAAACAUACUCUAUACGUGCAAGGCUAUUCAGGACUAUUAUACCACUUGAAGUUAGCUUCAUUUGGUUUACAUCGAUUCUUGUGGUACAACCAUCUUGGGGUGAUGCAAUAGUACCCGAUAACACUGUAUGUGUGUGUGUCUGUUUAUAAGGUAUAAUAAUUUUUCUAUGAUUUUCAUACCGAAAAUUCAUUUGUUAUUAUAAAUUGUGUAACAAUGUUACACAAUAUAUUGAUUGUGCGUACAGCCAAUGUCUGACGAUUGUUAAGCUAAUUGGCCGUAACAUAACAGACUGGAUAUUAAUAUUGAUUUAUCGAUUGCACAUCAAGGGAAUAGUAACUGUGUCGCCGACUGUGACGACAAAUGUAGUAAACUUUGGGCAAUAACCUGGUAAAUGAUUCAAUGAUUUUUUUACAGACUUCUGUAGUCCCUUUGUUCUCUUUUUAAAUAGCUUGAAGCGACAGAAAUUUUAGUAAAAUUUCUUUCCAACUCGUUGAUAAAAUUGGUAUUUUUCUUAUUGCUUCAUUACGAAUCGCGAAUAUAAUUUUAGUCGUAGCUUAACACGUGUCACAAGUCUGAUCGACAUACUUAAAGGUCCCAGCUAAGCCGACCAAUUUCAUUAAGUCCAGAAUCAACCUACACGACUUUACGAAAAGCUUCUCGUGCUCGAUGCAAACCGCAGAUAUUUCCAAGAUACAAGUCACAAGCUUAAAUUUGAGCAAAAAUCCCUCUGAAAUAUCUCCAGACCGUAAACAAUACCCUCGAUAAGAAAACUCAAUAUAAAUCCUCUAUAAUACACAAGCACUGAUUGGAUUUUUUAAUAUUGACUAUACAGAAAAAAAUGGCUUUCUUAGAAGCAAGUGAAAGCAACGAAAUUUCACACGACUAGCUCGUACAGCCAAGGAUCGUUUAUCCAAUUUGGUUUAUGAUAUCAGCAUUAUUACGUUGAUUAUUAUAGCGCAACUGAAUGCUUAACAUAAAAAUCCAGUUUUUGUCCCAAAAAGAGAAAAAAAUUCGUCGGAGAACAGGAAUCGUCGUAUAAUACGGAUACACACACUAGGUAUCCACGUACAUGAGUAAACUUUUACAAGGCACGACACACAGCCGCACACACAAUAUUGACACUGCAAUAUAAAUGUCAUAGAGGCAGCAUGUGUGCCCUCGCAUGAUCACGUGUAUGUACACGCACCAAACUUAGCCGUGCCAUAUCACACAUGCGUGGUAGCGUAUGGCAUAUAGGCAUAUGUGUUCAUGGCAGCGAGCGAGGUGGCAGUAGUAACCCAUAUAUUAUGCAAACUAGAAUCGAGCUGGAAAUACGUUGGCGAGGAGUCGUACCGAAGGAACGCAUAGUGAGAGUCCUUGAAGAAAACCAAAAGAAGAGAGAAAGGAGGGGGGGGGGCGGUUCGGAAAGAAUUUUGCAAGGAAAAAUCACCUAGGGGAUGAUUUAGGAUCAACGAGUACGAGGAAGCAGUAUAGCGACGUGCGUCCAAGUUCUCGUUGAUCACAUGGAUGAGGAGGAAGUGCUGAGGUUUUUACUACCUGUUACAUUUAUGCGGCUGAGGACAAGACCAAGCGGUUUUAUAAAUAUCGUUGUGUCGUCAGAGAAUUUCGAAAGUCAGAGACAGAGAGAGAGAAAGAGAGAUAUGGUUGAGCUGUAGGUUUGUAUUUCAGGAAUUUCGGGAUGACCGAAAUAAAGGGAGACAGGAAUGGAAUGAUCAUCGAGCAGUCGGUUCCUUCAGGUCACAGCGUAGAAUGGAAAAGAGAGAAUCAACAGAAUUGUAUAUAAAUGUAUUAAUAAUAUAAUAAAUUUAUAUUAAAUAUCUCUGGUGAUUCCCAAAAAUAUCAUAGCUAACGUAUCCGGUCGAUUUCCACAAAGAGAAUCAUGGCUGUAUUCAUUCUUGGCGACAAGUUCGUUCAAAG